AGAGGGUGAAACUCCCGUCCGCCUGGUAGAAUGAGUCUUUGUCAACGAGUCGAGUUGUUUGGGUAUUGUCAGACUCUAAAUUUGGUUGGUAAAUUCCAUCUAAAGCUAAAUAUUGGUGGGAGACCGAUAGCGUACAAGUACCGUGGAGGGAAAGAUGCAAAGAACUUUGAAAAGAGAGUUAAAGAGUACCUGAAAUUGGCUGAAACGGAAGCGAAGGAAACCAGUGUUUAGUUGGUUCAUAUUUCCUUGGCCACUUGUGGUUUGGGCGCUGUGAGCUUGCGUGGGUUUGGUGGUUGAUCCCUUUGGAAGAGCGCAGUCAGAGUUGAUGUCU
rnacentral:rRNA from 1 species